rnacentral:piRNA from 1 species
UCUGGCCUACUGUGACUGUGGCAAUGAGGU